UACGUAGGGGCCGAGCGUUGUCCGGAGUUAUUGGGCGUAAAGAGCGCGCAGGCGGUCGUGCAAGUCGCGUGUGAAAGCCCCCGGCUCAACUGGGGAGGGUCACGCGAUACUGCUCGACUCGAAGGCAGGAGAGGGAAGUGGAAUUCCCGGUGUAGUGGUGAAAUGCGUAGAUAUCGGGAGGAACACCAGUGGCGAAGGCGACUUCCUGGCCUGUUCUUGACGCUGAGGUGCGAAAGCGUGGGGAGCAAACAGG
rnacentral:rRNA from 1 species